rnacentral:rRNA from 1 species
UACGUAGGGGGCAAGCGUUGUCCGGAUUUAUUGGGCGUAAAGGGCGCGUAGGCGGCGCAACAAGUCACUUGUGAAAUCUCCGGGCUUAACUCGGAACGGUCAAGUGAUACUGUCGGACUAGAGUACAGAAGGGGCAACUGGAAUUCUCGGUGUAGCGGUGAAAUGCGUAGAUAUCGAGAGGAACACCUGCGGCGAAGGCGGGUUGCUGGGCUGAUACUGACGCUGAGGCGCGAAAGCCAGGGGAGCGAACGGGG